UUCAUUCCGAGUGUCUUGUGUUCCCCUUGGCAUCAAUGGCGAAGACACUACUCACACAACAUUCUCAGACCUUCCUCCUCCAUCAAUCUCACCGCAGCUCCACUCACGCGGGUCCCACAGUCCACGACCUCGUCCGCGCCCGCAACCUUCCCGGUGUUGUUGCGGUACGGGGUUGUUCCUGAUUUGAUUAGUUUUGGUUCUGUGAUUGGAGUGUUCUCUAGGAAUGGGCGAUUCGAUAAGGCGUUGUAGUAUUUUGGGAAGAUGAAGGGUGCUGGUUUGGUUGCUGAUACGGUGAUUUAUACUAUUCUUAUUGAUGGGUAUUGCAGGAAUGGCAAUGUGGCUGAGGCGUUGAACGUGCGUAAGGAGAUGGUGGAGAGGGGAGUUUUUGCGGAUUACUAUACUCUUACUACCCUAUUCAUGGGUAGGGCUCUUGGUUUGUUUGAGACGCUGACUCAAAGGAGCCUUGUGACGUAUAAUACGUUGAUGGAUGGCUUCUGCAAGAUUGGUGAAAUGGAGAAAGCUAAGGAGUUAUGGUGUGAUAUGGUGAGCAGGGGGAUAUUGCCCAGCUACGUAUCAUUUAGCAUUUUGAUGAAUGGGUUUUGCAGUUUAGGACUUAUGGGUGUGGGAUGAAAUGAUAGAAAAAGGUGUUAAGCCCACGUUGGUAACUUGCAAUACAAAUUCCCAAUAUAUAAGGUCUAGUUGUGGACUAUGCCAAUGCCAUCACUGGUUCUGUAUAUCACAGGAAGCACAACCCUGGUGGAUGUCUUCGGAGCCCGGACAUAAUAGUUGAGCCUUCCUGCCUUGAAGAAUCCUGUAUGUUUUAGACGCUUGGAAAUACAACCCGUCCAUGUUUCUAAGCAUGGUUUGCAGGAGCCAGGAGGGGGACUCCACCAUCUUUCAUGAACUUCAGACUAAUGUUUUUGUAAGUAUAUUUUAUUGAAGGUGGAGCCUGGAUAGAAGUCAUUGCAAUUAUGAAGUGUAGCAUGGGAGAUUGGAAGUUGAAGCAUUCUUUUUUCUUGCUCUCAAGUAGCAUGAGAAUGGUCACCAGUCACCACCUAAGUUCUGGUUCAAGUUAAUUUUAAUGCAACAAUCGCAUACCAAUUAAAGUUUAUUUAACAGUUAUACACAUGUGAAAUUUACCGUGGCUGGUUUGUCUGAUACAAUUAUACCUGUCUUUGGGGUGUACUUUUUGAGAGUUAGAAAAGCAAGCAACAAAUUGUAGAUUUUUUUUUUGUGAUUUUUGAAGAUGAUCCACAUGGAAUUGUUUUCCCAAUUUGAAGCUCUUCCCGUAUUGUUAAAGUGUUGGUAUAUCCACAGGUUAAGAGGGAUGUAAAUCUUUUAGCACAUUAGUUGCAGCUGCAUUGUGAUUUGAAGGUCAUAGGUUCAAUUUAAAUCCUAGAAACAGUCUGUUGGGACUUAGGAAGUUAGGAUCCAGUUGCAAGGCAUGAGACUUGAGUCACAUAUUGGAAGUAUGGCAUGUUAGUGUGGGAUUUACAACAACAGCUAGUUUUUGUGGUGUGGUUCUUCUAAAGUUUCUCAUCAAUUUGUAUCAGAGCCUUUCACUAUGUCUCCCAGCUGCAAACAAGUGGUGCUGGUUGCGAUGAUGGCAUCACUGUGUUUGACCGGAGCUAGUGCAUAUCCAACCCACAUGGGCGCAGGCAGGGGCUGUGGCCUGUUUAGUGUGGUGGAAUAUUGGGAUCCAAAUUCAAGGUAUGGAACUUGAGUCCUACAUUGAAAUUAUGAGAUUCUAAUAUGAGGUUUAUAUGGCUUUGGACUCUCCAACUACAACGGUUAGCUUUUGUGGUAUGGUUGCCCAUCAUAUCAUUUGCAAUAUACAUACUAUACUCUUCACAUUUGAUGUUUCGGGAGAUGGGGAUACUGUUUGAAAUUGAAGUCCACACUUGGUAUGAGAAAAUUCAGCAACAUCAUUACAUAAGCAAAAAUCAGGUAGCACUUUCUUUAACACAUUUGCAAGCUGUACACAUGCCAGCAGUAGAUGGUGUGUGUUGUCUUUGAGACUCUUGACACUGGCAUAACAACAUCAUGCUACUGAGUUCUAAUGAGCUACCACAGGCUGUCUUAGAAAGAUGGAUUUAAUUCCUCUGUGAAAUAAAGCUGUGCACUUUUAAGAAUAAAGUGCAAUUGUAACCAACGGUUGAGAUUAUGAUAAAAUGCGCGUACUAUGUACACUAUGGAAGUUAAGAUUUUAUCUAUCUAACUAUUGAAUUAUAUAGUGUUACCUUCA